rnacentral:sRNA from 1 species
AAAAAGAUGAAUUGUGUAGCUAGAGAUCAUAACAAACUCUGAGGAGAUUCAAGCUAAGGUACAUUUACAAAAACUUAUUUUAAAUUACAAUGGGUUGUUGCAUUUUCGAAACUGAUCCUACAGACCAAUAAGUACUAUUCAGUUAAUUUGAAAACACUUACAAAAAAAACUAAGAUAUAAUUUAGCAACUUUAACAUUUUUUAUUAUGUUUGUAGGGACAUUAAUGGGAAACUGGUGUAGUUGUGUAACAAAAGAUGAAAAUAGUGAUAAUUCUAGUAGCUCUCAAACUUCUACGGAUAAAGAAAGUAGUGUGCAAGUUUCUUCUGUGAGCACUACGUCUUCUUCAGAGAUUUCAUCUGAAUGUUCUUCUUCAAAAUGAUCAUCUCAAAGCUCCCAAUGAUGGAAGCGUAACUAGUGAGCAAAUGUCGCAUGGAUCAUCUUCUUCAUCUUAUCAAUAAAAAAAUCUUCAAAAUAAAUAAUUUUCUAUGUCAAUUUUUAUAU